UUAUAGGUUUAAAUGAACCAGUUAAAAAAAAAACAACGAUUCAAAGGUUGCGCUGCAUGACAGAAUAGAUCAUGACGUCAUUGAGGAUCUUGAUCUUAUAGAGUGGUGGAACUGUCACACCCAGGGGCUGGCUAUGCUUUGACUAAGCCACACCCCUUCUCAACUUCCACCUCGAGGAGGUCCCCAAAGCCAACCCAAUGGCCAAACAACACGAGAACAAGUAAGUGAUAAAACAAUCUUUAUUUAAAUAUUUAAAAAUAGCUUGGGGAAUAGGGAAAGGGCAAUUAAAACUAAACUCUGACUCGGCCCUCCAGAUGGGCUAUGGCCGGGAAGAGGUCAGGGAGCAAGGGGGCCACGGGGAUCCGGGGCGUGGGACUCGGGCCCCGGCCUGAGUCUUAGGUAUCCGUAGCGCCCUCCUUCUUCCUCCUCUUCGCUGAAUACAGCUCACGGUAAGUACUGGUUCACACAGUUCGUUCUCGGGGUGCUCACUCUCUUUCUCUUCCUCCACAGGCAACGGCUGGGACACACAGGCACAGUUAGUUCAGCUUGGUUUUGCUCUCACCUCUUCGCUGAUUGCAGCUCACAGUAAGUACUGGUUCACACAGUUCGUUCCUUGGGUGCUCACUCGCUUUCUCUUUCUCCACAGGCAGCGGCGUAAGUACAGGUUUCCUCGGUCUCUCCUCGUGUUACCCACUCUCUCUCCUUUUCUCUCCACAGGUAUCAACUUGGGCACAAUAGCACAGUUAGUUUGCUUUGAAUGGCUCUCACCUCUGGGCUGGACACAGCGUACUGUAAGUACAGGGUUCCUCUGUUUCUCCUUGUGUUACUCACUCUCUCUUUCCUUUCCUCUCCACAGGUAUCAACUUGGACGCAAAGCACAGUUACUCUGCUUUGGAUGGCUUUCACCUCUGGGCUGGACACAGCGUACUGUAAGUACAGGUUUCCUCUGUUUCUCCUUGUGUUACUCACUCUCUCUUUCCUUUCCUCUCCACAGGUAUCAACUUGGACGCAAAGCACAGUUACUCUGCUUUGGAUGGCUUUCACCUCUGGGCUGGACACAGCGUACUGUGCUAUCUCCGGAGAUCUGGAGCACGCUCACAACAUAUACUGUACUGAACUAGGCUAGGACCAGCAGUCUCCUUGUCCUCCCGCGACGAAGUGCGUGAAGGCGGGGGUUUAUCUGACAGGACACACGGCAAUACACAGCAGCCCACAGCAAUAUACAGCACCACGUCAAAAUUAUAGGUUUUCACAGCAUGAAGACUCACCCACCACACUCAGUGUACGAAAAGGACACCCGUCUUCCUUCACUUCGCUUGGUUCGGAUCUGGCGAUGGAAUAUGCGGCCUAGCUAGUGAUGUCGUCGUUGUGACUACUUCAAUAAGUAUUCCUUCGGCUCUCCCACCACACUAUAUUAGGGGUAGGGCCGCCCUCCUCCUCCUGGAGAGAUCUACACAACGCCAGGUCAAUAUACAGGGCACUUUCGACUGGCUCUUAGUACUCACAUCAAUGCCGCUUCCAAUCCCCUUUUUCACGUCGUCUCAGUUCGCCGUAUAAUCCGUUCACUUCUCAACCUUUAAGGUUCGCGAUGUCUUCACAAUCAUACAAUUCCAGCCUGAGGGAGAGAGAGUUAGACAGCCGCCAGCAGCGCACCAAGACGGGCACAACACAGUGCUUCACACACACCAGAAAGAGCGCCCAGACUGUGAAAUAACUUGGCCUUAAGUACUGCCUUGUCCAGCGUAUCCUCCAAUCACCAACCGCUGUCCCUAACUAGGCACAGGUGCAUCGAAUUCCCUGAUUUUCCUUCUUACGGCGCUACCGGAAAUUCCGGUGUUCUGUUUUUCCGGUCCGGGCGGAAACACUUCCGGGCGGAACCAAACUUCCCGAAUUUUGGUUCCGCCCCUAAAGAUCGUCACCUUGUGACAGAACUAUGAUGUCACUUUGUAGGCAAAAACCCAGAAGCAAGUUAGCAUUUUAGCACUUCCGGUUCCAUCGUCCCAGACUCAAUGGGUUUUUUUGAAUGGGAUUUUGGUUAAAUCCCUAAAAUAAGGUCCGUGGUUCACACAGGCUCAAGAUACUUACACCAGUUACACCCCACGUGUGAUUAUUUUUUAAAACUGUUAUGUUUCUUAAAAAAGACGGUUGAAGUUGCUAUGAGACUACAGGUGAAACAGUUGAUCAAUUUACAGUAUUUUCCAGUUAUAGUAUAAUUUGUACUACAGUUAAUUGUAGAAUAACCAAUUAAUAGUUUCCCGCAUUUUAUAUUGUUGGUUAAAGAUAUUUUUUGUUUUGCCCUGAAAUGCAACACAAGUCUUCAGAUGGAAGAUGCUCAUUUAUUGCUUUCCUACUGAUGCGGAGACUCUGGGUUCGUAAGGUAAACAUUACGAUUAUUUCAUGUAAACACCACAUUUACCGGCUCAGUCACAGUGAAAGUGAAACUUUAACGAUGCAUAGUGCUUAAAUCCAGGUUAAAUUUAAAUGUUUACUGCCACAUGAAACUGUUACGGAGCAUAUAGAUUGAGGAUUUUCUAGAAGCAAGGAAAAAAAUAACAUUUUGUGUAACUUACCCACCCUAACAAAGCUGAAAUGUGGUACUUUAUUCACUAAAAUAAGUUUACUUACCAUAUCCAAAAACUCACUCACUCUGCUGUUAUUUAAUAGAUUAGAUGCACUAGAAUUUUAUUGAAUAGUUCGUGGAGACACGUUUU
ensembl:lncRNA